GGCGCUGUGGAUUAGUUGGUUAAAGCGCCUGUCUAGUAAACAGAAGAUCCUGGGUUUGAAUCCGAGAGGUCCUU
rfam:Loxodonta africana unplaced genomic scaffold scaffold_64, whole genome shotgun sequence.